AGAGUUUGAUCAUGGCUCAGAUUGAACGCUGGCGGCAUGCUUAAUACAUGCAAGUCGAACGGUAACAGAUUCUUCGGAAUGCUGACGAGUGGCGGACGGGUGAGUAAUACAUAGGAAUCUGCCCAUGUAGCGGGGGACAACUUGGGGAAACUCAAGCUAAUACCGCAUAAUUCCUACGGGAUAAAGAGGGCCACUGCUUGCAAGCUCUUGCUACUGGAUGAGCCUAUGUCGGAUUAGUUAGUUGGUAAGGUAAUGGCUUACCAAGACAGCGAUCCGUAGCUGGUUUGAGAGGAUGAUCAGCCACACUGGGACUGAGACACGGCCCAGACUCCUACGGGAGGCAGCAGUAGGGAGUAUUGGACAAUGGGCGCAAGCCUGAUCCAGCAAUGCCGCGUGUGUGAAGAAGGCCUGCGGGUUGUAAAGCACUUUCAAUUGGGAAGAAAGAUUAUGAGUUAAUACCUUAUAA
rnacentral:rRNA from 1 species